CUAGGCUUGACAUCCCUUUGCAAAGUCCUUAACCGGGCUCCUUUUGUUCGCAAGACAAAGGUGACAGGUGGUGCAUGGUUGUCGUCAGCUCGUGUCGUGAGAUGUUGGGUUAAGUCCCGCAACGAGCGCAACCCCUAUUUUUAGUUGCCAUCAGUUAGGCUGGGCACUCUAGAAAGACUGCCGAGGACAACUCGGAGGAAGGUGGGGAUGACGUCAAAUCAUCAUGCCCCUUAUGCUUAGGGCUACACACGUGCUACAAUGGCUGUUACAAAGGGCUGCGAGACCGCGAGGUGGAGCCAAUCCCAUAAAAACAGUCUAAGUUCGGAUUGUAGGCUGAAACUCG
rnacentral:rRNA from 1 species